rnacentral:pre_miRNA from 2 species
AAGGGAGCAUCCGUCGACAGUCAGAAAAGAGGAACUGUCAUGGAGUUGCUCUCUUUA